AUUGAACGCUGGCGGCAUGCCUUACACAUGCAAGUCGAACGGCAGCACGGGUGCUUGCACCUGGUGGCGAGUGGCGAACGGGUGAGUAAUACAUCGGAACGUACCUUAUCGUGGGGGAUAACGCAGCGAAAGCUGUGCUAAUACCGCAUACGCCCUGAGGGGGAAAGCGGGGGAUCGAAAGACCUCGCGCGAUUAGAGCGGCCGAUGCCUGAUUAGCUUGUUGGUGGGGUAAAAGCCUACCAAGGCGACGAUCAGUAGCUGGUCUGAGAGGACGAUAAGCCACACUGGGACUGAGACACGGCCCUGACUCCUACGGGAGGCAGCAGUGGGGAAUUUUGGACAAUGGGGGCAACCCUGAUCCAGCAAUGCCGCGUGAGUGAAGAAGGCCUUCGGGUUGUAAAGCUCUUUUGUCAGGGAAGAAACACCGGCUCUAACACAGUCCGGGAAUGACGGUACCUGAAGAAUAAGCACCGGCUAACUACGUGCCAGCCGCCGCCGUAA
rnacentral:rRNA from 1 species